rnacentral:misc_RNA from 1 species
GAUGAAGAACGUAGCGAAAUGCGAUAAGUAGUGUGAAUUGCAGAAUUCAGUGAAUCAUCGAAUCUUUGAACGCACAUUGCGCCCUUUUGUAUUCCUUAGGGCAUGCCUGUUCGAGCGUCAUUUAAACCUUCAAGCUAAGCUUGGUGUUGGGUGACUGUCCGCUUCACGGCGGACUCGCCUCAAAAUUAUUGGCGGCCGGUACAUUGGCUUCGAGCGCAGCAGAAACGCGAACUCGGGCCCGUCGUAUUGGCUCCCAGAAGCUAUCUUCCCAAUUUUGACCUCGGAUCAGGUACGGAUACCCGCUGAACUUAAGCAUAUCAAUAAGCGGAGGA